rnacentral:rRNA from 1 species
AGCUCCAAAAGCGUAUAUUAAAGUUGUUGCAGUUAAAAAGCUCGUAGUUGGAUUUGUGGGUGGACUUGUUGGCCCGACGCUUUGCGUGGGUGCUGUACAGGUCCGUCCAUCCUUGGGUGGAAUCUGCGUGGCAUUAGGUUGUCGUGCAGGGGAUGCCCAUCUUUUACUGUGAAAAAAUUAGAGUGUUCAAAGCAGGCUUAUGCCGUUGAAUAUGUUAGCAUGGAAUAAUGAGAUAGGACCUGGGUACUAUUUUGUUGGUUUGCGCACCGAGGUAAUGAUUAAUAGGGACAGUUGGGGGUAUUCGUAUUCCAUUGUCAGAGGUGAAAUUCUUGGAUUUUUGGAAGACGAACGACUGCGAAAGCAUUUACCAAGGAUGUUUUCAUUAAUCAAGAACGAAAGU